rnacentral:rRNA from 1 species
UUUUUAUUUUACUUAUAAAUUCAUUUUUAAAAUAAUGAUUUCAAUUAUUUAUUCAUUUCAAUAAAUUUGAUUGUAAUACAUAAUAACUUAUUUAUAUUGCACCUUGACCUGAUGUUAAAUAUUUUAUUUUUAGAAAAUUAUUUUUAUUUUUAUAAAAAUCUGUCAACGGAGAUAUACAAAAAUAAAAUAAGUAAGAUUUUCGUGUAUUUUCGAUAAAAUUACAUAUUCCUUUAGAAAAUUAAAUACUGUCAAAAUUUUUAAGUUUCAAUCUUACUACUUUAGAAUUAUAAAAUUUCAAGGAUAAUAGGGUAUCUAAUCCUAGUUUCUUUCUUAAUUUUAUGUGAAAUAAAUUAAAUAAUAUUACAAUUAAAAGAUUUCACCCCUUUAUAUGCAUAUAUAUAUAUU